rnacentral:rRNA from 1 species
AGCUUGCAUUCAGUCUGCUAUCUCGAAGCGGGCGACGCUUGACUGAUGCUGGGAGGCGGCUCUUGGGAACCGCCAACCAGCAGCGGCCGUGCUUGCACGCGCGGCCGUUCACAGAUCACGAUCGAGCGGUCCCUAAGGAUUAAGAUAUGACCGGUCCCGCCUUGCGAAUGGGCGGGAGUCAACGUUCCGUAGGUGCAGAGUUUGCCUACCGCAUGCCUAAUGCGCGGUCUGCACCCUUGGGUGCAGGCAACACCGUUCAAAUGCUGGGCGUGCCGGGCGGAAGCCCGUCACCAUCAGCAGCCGACGUUCCGACGUCCGGCCCACAGAUCAUCCGACGGUGACCUAUUGAGGUUAAGAUAUGAUCGGUCCCGACCCGCCCUGGGUCUCGGAGACACGGAACCUGCGGAAGGAUCAUUAC